UACCAGCACCCCGAGUGGUCGGGACGAUUAUUGGGCCUAAAGCAUCCGUAGCCGGUUUUACAAGUCCUCCGUUAAAUCCAGCUGCUUAACAGAUGGGCUGCGGAGGAUACUAUAAGACUAGGAGGCAGGAGAGGCAAGCGGUACUCAGUGGGUAGGGGUAAAAUCCGUUGAUCCAUUGAAGACCACCAGUGGCGAAGGCGGCUUGCCAGAAUGCGCUCGACGGU
rnacentral:rRNA from 1 species